UAAUCAGUUUGGGGAGACAAA
rnacentral:miRNA from 2 species